rnacentral:piRNA from 1 species
UCCAAGAACGUGACUCUGGAUACUCGGCA